GUAACCUGCCUUAUAGUGGGGGAUAGCCUUUCGAAAGGAAGAUUAAUACCGCAUAAGAUUGUAGUAUCGCAUGAUAUAGCAAUUAAAGGAGCAAUCCGCUAUAAGAUGGACCCGCGUCGCAUUAGCUAGUUGGUGAGGUGAUGGCUCACCAAGGCGACGAUGCGUAGCCGACCUGAGAGGGUGAUCGGCCACAUUGGGACUGAGACACGGCCCAGACUCCUACGGGAGGCAGCAUG
rnacentral:rRNA from 1 species